CCCCUUCCCGUACCCGAGCGGCCAGCGAUCCCCGGCGCUGCCCGCGUACCAUCCUCCAGCCCCCCGGGCGCCCCGCUGUCCGGGAGGGACUCACUCCCGCCCCGGCAAUGCGGACAGCACCUUGCUGCCGUUCCUAGAGGCGGCUCCCGGGCCGGGGGUCGGGGCCAUGAACCCGUCGCGGCGUUGAGCACCGCGGCGGCGGCGGCGAAGCGGAGCCUUUUCCGUGCAGGCAGCCCCCGACCUGCGUGCGACCGGGGCCGCGCCCGCCGCCGCCGCCCCCCAUGACCCUGCGCUCCGCCGAGUCCCUGGAGAGCACGGAGGGCUCCCGGGCGCGUUGGGGACAGCCCGGGACGGCGGCGCCUGUUGCCGAGGAGUUCUGUGAGGCGGCGCAGCUGGCCGCCGCUAUGGAGGAGCUGCGGCGGGCAGGAUGGUACUGGGGCAACAUGACUGUUGCCGAAGCUAAAGAGAGAUUACAGGAUGCUCCCGAAGGGACCUUCUUGGUUAGGGAUAGUUCACAUUCAGAGUAUCUGUUGACUAUUUCGGUAAAAACAUCAGCGGGACCGACCAAUCUACGUAUAGAAUAUCAAGAUGGCAAGUUUAGACUGGACUCUAUCACAUGUGUCAGAUCUAGACUUAAGCAAUUCGACAGCGUUGUGCAUUUGAUUGAGUACUAUGUUCUUAUGUGCAAGAACAGAACAGAGACACCUUCAAAUGGAACAGUUCAUCUUUACUUGAACAAACCUCUCUAUACGUCCACUCCAUCUCUGCAACACCGCUGCAGAAUAACUAUAAACAAAUGCACAAAUCAGAUCUGGGAGCUGCCAUUACCAACAAGACUAAAAGAGUACUUGAAAGAGUACCAGUACCAGGUAUAAAUAUAUUUUCUAAAUGCCUGUAAUGUAGAGUAACUUUUAAAUGCAAUUCUUAAAAUCAGCCAAAGAACUGAGUAACCAGUUGAACAAAUCGUCAUGGAAUUCACUAUCAAAACAGUGGCAGUUCUGGGGGAAAGGUUUUAAUUUCAGAUGCCACAAAGGGAGACUUUAUGUAGAAUAAUCUCAGCUUGCAUCCUCGGGGGUUCAACAAGGUGGCAUGCUAUUCUUGCAAGGAGAGAGAAGCCAGGAAUCUGUCCAGAUCAUGUUGCUUUGUCAAUGGCAUAAAAUACUGCGCUAAUUAUCAAAUGCUAACCGAAGUAGUGGGGCUGGGAGAAACUGCAGAAGUGGUCAAAGACGUAUGAGAGUGCAUAAGUAUCUCAGUUGUCUGAUUCCAUGAUUAAUUUGGUGCUGGUGUUCAUAUAAUCCUGAAAGCUUAACUGGAUCAUGCAGUGGUAAUCUUGCCAAAGUUACGCAAUUAAUCAAAUCCACUAAAAAAAUUGAUCUUGUAUUCAGUCUUUAUUGAACUAUAAUUCUUGUGCUUUUCUGCAAGCAAAGGAACACUGCAAGUAAGAAGUUCAAAACACAGUUUUUCAAAGUUCUCUAAAAGCUGACCUUAAGGAGAAGUGCCACAUCUUUCAUAGGAACCCAGUAUGUUGUGGAUUAUACCAGAUUGGUACCCCAGAGUUUUCAACAUGGUUAACAUCUUCCCAGUGGUGAUAUAUCCAUGUUAUUACUAGUAAGCCUGUUUUGCUGGAGGCUUUAGGACUGUAUGCUGCAGACUUGAAGUUACUCAGUUCCAAUGUCAAAACAUGGAUAUCAGCAGUUACAGCUGUCUUCUACAGUGUAGAAUGUUUUCUUCAGCUUGUUUCCCAAAAUGUGGGGAAGUAUGUUUGGGGUUUUUUAGGGGGUUGGGGCUUUUUUUUCUUUUUUUUUUUUUUCUAAUUCACCCUUGUAGUUAUCAGACUAUUACUCAAUAAAGUAAAACAAAGUGAAACAAAUUACACAACAAUCUCCCAAUCUUUUUAUGUAUGGAUUUGCUACUGUUUUUCAGGAAACUGAUCUUAGGAACCUGUAUAAUUUCCCAGGUAAUAGAUAAAUGCACAUGUAUCGGUGAGGAAGCAUAUCCCUGGUUUGCCUUUAUGGUGCUGCUCAAAGGAAUAGCUGUAUUAGGUUGAGGUUAGUGGUUUAGAGGCUGCCUGCUGAAUUCCUGUAGUUAGGUAUUAGCAUAGGACAUUGUCUUUUCUGUUACAGCAGUCCUUCAAAUCGGAAGAAGGGUCUGAAAUCCUGGGUACCUGUUCCUUAGCCUAAAUGUAAAGUGUUUCAGAGAAAAAAUAACCCAGAUGAGAGUAAUAGGGGAGAGUAAAGAGAGAAGCAAGGGCAUCGUCCUCAGUCAACAUUAACUCUUUCUGUAGCUUACGUUUUAAUUAAAGCAAAUAGACCUGUGUUUGAACAAGGAGGAUUGUCAGGACUUGCUGUAAUGUAGCCCUGCCCAGGACAAAACAGAAACAAUAUGAAAUAAUUGUCUUGUUUUCUUCAUGCCUUAUCUGUUCUGUAGUACUGUCACUAUGCUCUGUCCCUUCUCAUAAACUCUGGAGCAUCAACCAGCUUAUUUUAUUGCAUCUGAACUCCCACUGUUACACACUUAGCUUUGUCAUUAGCAUGCUGGCACAAAUGAGUAGGACAGUCAUUAAGAUAAGGAAGACACUGAGAAUCUGAGCCAGAAAGGGAUGGUUCCUUGGUAGGGCAAAUACUUGGUAUGUUCUCUCUAUGGAAGAGGUGGGUUUUCUUUCCCCAUGUCUUCAAUUCUCUCUCCCCAUUUUUAAUGUAAGAUUUAGUAUAGAAAUGGGGCGAGUUUUCUCAUGAAAAACAGAACAAAAGCUUUUGUUAUGUAAAAUUUUUCCCCAUGCCCUGCCAAAGUGUAGCAGAUUGUUGGAAGUUUUUCACAUCACAUGACGACCACCCUCUGGUUCCCAUCUCAGAGGAGCCCUUGUAUUCCAGGUAUGCAUCAUAAUCACACAGUUUUUCUGUGCUUGUCGUCUGUCUUGCUAGGAUCUGCCACCCUGAAGCUGAGGAGCUUUUCCUAUGAGCGCUGCCUGUGAAAGAACUGUAUUUCUGGGAAUGCUUUCAUUCUGAUGAGUCUGCUCUCUUACAGUCAUUGUCUAGCUCUACCUUGAGAUGAGAUAGCUGCGGCAGAGAGUAACUUUUGUCACAAAUUUGAGCCAUUAAUUCUCCAGGAACUGAAAUACCGAAAUAAUACCAUCACUUUCUAUGGUAUAAAGGAGGAAUAAAAUGGGGGAGCAAAAGCUGUUUAUAUUAGCGUAAUGAACAAGCUGGCAUUUAGCAGGAGAAAGUUCAAACAGAUAAUAGCCUGGGGAAGUUCAGUGGUGAAUGCUGCAAAGAACAAAAUUUGAAAACAAACUCCAAAAAUUCCAUGUUCCUGCCUUAAUUUUUCUUUCACUGGCAAGCAGGGUUUACGUAAGUAAAUCCUUUUGUUUUCAGUCAAAUUGUUCCAUAACUGAUGUUUCAUAGCUGAGGACUGCAAUUUGGUGCAAAGUCAGUUAACAAAUAGUAAAUGCAGAGGUAUGUAAAAUGUGGAAAAAGAUUGAAAGCCCCAAAUUCUUCUUUUGACUUUAUUGAGAUUAUUUGGAUCAGGGUUGAUAGCAAGCAUUAUAUAAGAAACAGUUGUAAGACUGAUAGUUGAAGGCUGUAAAAUCCCUUUUCAAAAUGCUUUGUUACAAUGUAAUUGUACCUCUUUUAGAUUGCAGUCCUGUUCUGCUGAGCCUCUUGCCCGCACCCAGUUUGUCUCAGGGGGCACCUCCAAACCUGAGGGAUUGCGCUGGACACCUGUAUGACAUGUCACACAUUGGCUUUCUUCUUACCUAGUGUGCAGCUUGACGCAGUCUGGAGGGCAGAGUAAGUUGUGCAUCAACUUACCAUUUAUGGGGUUUUCAGCUGGUUCAUUUUCUUUUAGGAAGAGAAAUACUACACAAGACUGAGACUGCAUAAGCUGCAAUUUACUCAUCUGUAAAAUGGACUUGACAUUUUGUAACUUAUUAGUGUGGGGUGAAAAGUCACUCAUAUUUCAAUUGACAUUGACAGGAAAUUUAGCUGCAGUGAUGGAGUACCUCUGACCGGCUGCAUUGCUAGAAAAAAAGAAGAAAGUUAGGAAAGUGAGAUUCUCGUCUGGCUAGCUUGCAGUGGAAGUGGCACCACAGCUCCUGUGCGAGCUGAAGUGCUUCAGCCGCAUGCUGUCUGCCUGUGAGAACAUAACUGUUUUCUGGCACAAUUCAUGUGUUCAACUCCCUUGGUGGAGGACACAGUGCCUACUGCAGGCUGCUGAACCAGCCCACUGUAACCAUCCAUGGGGGCAGGUUUCAUUUUGAAAAGGAACAAAAUACAGUAAGUGAAUUUUUAAUUGAAGGUGAGUUCUUUUUUAAAAACAGGAUGUAUGGACAAAGUAUAAGCAGUGGCAAAUCUCUUGCUAGGCUACCUGUCUAAACUUUCCAUGAGCCAUUAUCAGCUCCUGAAAUGCUUCACCUGAAAGUAAGAACCUUUGAAAAUAUAAGUACUGUAUUUAUAACUUGUACAUAUAUACAUACACAUAUAUAUACCUAUGUAUAUAACUUGUCAAGUUCAAAGCCUGAGAAAGAAAGAGAAGAUUACAAAAAGCAACAGUUACUCUCCUAAAUAAAACCAACCUUCCAGUCUUUUAUCUAAAAUGCUAGACAACCAUUUCAUGUGCUGUCAUUUGCAAACAAAAUUAUUUGGUUUUGUGAAAAGGUUUCAACCUUGAAUCUUAAAUUCCUUUUACUUACUUGUAAAUGUUUGAUUUUCAGGCUAAUCUGUGAAUUUUCUUUGUUUGUUCUCACAUUUAAAAUGGUUGUUUUACAUAUAAAAAACCAGUUUCAUAAGUCUGCAAUAAAUAUGAAGAGGCUUGCAGUAUUUCAUCUGUCUCCUCAAAGCCUCUUUAAAUUAAACUUCAAGAACAACGACGUUAGUUCAUGUAUUUAGCGAAAAUGGACUAAAAAUUCUGAGAAAUACCGAGUCACAUUUUGUAAAUAUUAAUUGCAGGGGGGUUAUUGCAAUUCAUUGAAGAGAUUCUUUUUGCUUUUUCUGGACUGAAUACAAAAGUUCCACAUUUGAUACCUGCUCUUUUUCUUGUAACUAUUCUGCAUUCAACUUUUGGCUACAGAUUAUUUGCAUCAAAGUAAACAUCAUUAAGACUUAAUUCACUGCAACACUGCUAAUAAACACUUGUUUUUAUUACUGAAACAAAUGUAAAUGUAUAGACGCUACACAGUCAGUUCACACUCCAUGGUUUAAGAUGCUUUGAAACUCUUUGUGAUGUAUUUUACCUCCAUGCUGGGCAUGCCUUUUAAUAAAAUCAUACUUCUAAAGAA